AACUUUCAACAACGGAUCUCUUGGUUCUCGCAUCGAUGAAGAACGCAGCGAAAUGCGAUAAGUAGUGUGAAUUGCAGAAUUCCGUGAAUCAUCGAAUCUUUGAACGCACAUUGCGCCUCCUGGUAUUCCGGGAGGCAUGCCUGUUCGAGCGUCAUU
rnacentral:rRNA from 1 species